GUUAAAUAAAGGUGUUCUCAACUAGCCUACCUGGUUAAAUAAAGGUGUUCUCAACUAGCCUACCUGGUUAAAUAAAGGUGAUCUCAACUAGCCUACCUGGUUAAAUAAAGGUGUUCUCAACUAGCCUACCUGGUUAAAUAAAGGUGAUCUCAACUAGCCUACCUGGUUAAAUAAAGGUGUUCUCAACUAGCCUACCUGGUUAAAUAAAGGUGAUCUCAACUAGCCUACCUGGUUAAAUAAAGGUGUUCUCAACUAGCCUACCUGGUUAAAUAAAGGUGAUCUCAACUAGCCUACCUGGUUAAAUAAAGGUGAUCUCAACUAGCCUACCUGGUUAAAUAAAGGUGAUCUCAACUAGCCUACCUGGUUAAAUAAAGGUGAUCUCAACUAGCCUACCUGGUUAAAUAAAGGUGUUCUCAACUAGCCUACCUGGUUAAAUAAAGGUG